UGAGGAAUAUUGGUCAAUGGGUGCAAGCCUGAACCAGCCAUCCCGCGUGAAGGACGACUGCCCUAUGGGUUGUAAACUUCUUUUGUAUAGGGAUAAACCUACCCUCGUGAGGGUAGCUGAAGGUACUAUACGAAUAAGCACCGGCUAACUCAGUGCCAGCAGCCGCGGUAAUACGGAGGGUGCAAGCGUUAUCCGGAUUUAUUGGGUUUAAAGGGUCCGUAGGCGGACUUAUAAGUCAGUGGUGAAAGCCUGUCGCUUAACGAUAGAACUGCCAUUGAUACUGUAAGUCUUGAGUAUAUUUGAGGUAGCUGGAAUAAGUAGUGUAGCGGUGAAAUGCAUAGAUAUUACUUAGAACACCAAUUGCGACGGCAGGUUACCAAGAUAUAACUGACGCUGAGGGACGAAAGCGUGGGGAGCGAACA
rnacentral:rRNA from 1 species